GAUUCUUGCUAAGAAUCCUCUUGUAUAUCCAUGCAAGUAACCCGUUUUAUAUAUGUACUGCAGUUCUUUUUCUUUUCCUUCUCUAGUACUAUUGUAGAGCUCAGCCCUUCUAAAGUAAAAUCUAAAUGCCGACAUCUUAUAAGAGGUUGGAUCGUGGGACCAUUUCGGAAUGAUAAUUGGGUUAUAUACAAUUGGAUUUUUGGCAGGAAUCCAUACUGGGGUGGGGCGGUCCCUUGUUGGAGAGGGGGCACCGAAUGAGCAUGCUGAGGCUGCAUACUAGGCGGUCCCCUGUGCAAUGAAAGAAUGUAAGUUUUUAGGGGACAUACAGGCAAGGAGUGGUGGGGGAUGGACCUGCAGCGGAUGUCCGACUAUCUUUGGCCGGCUCCGGGGUGACAG
rnacentral:lncRNA from 1 species